GACUUGCUGCCUGUAGACACAAAUGAAACUUCGCAACACAGUAUAACAUUAGACUGUGCUCUGCAAUGUUGUAAUUGGUCGAUUUAAAAGUGAAGUUUGUUUGUAAACAAACGAAGUGGUGGUGUGUUAAGAAGUAGGACUUGUGGCCUAUAGUACCAAAUGUCAUUGUUUAUGUGGCAAAAGCAAUACAGUUAACGGAACAUCAUUUCAAAAAUAUAUUGUUAAAGUGUGCUUCCAGUGAUGUCGAAACGAUCAAUGGUAUGGUCUGCAAAGUUGGUCCUGCAGCACUUCAUCCGAAAAAAGCUGUUGACGAGAAAUGUUAGCAGUUUCUUUUCCGGCGCUAGGAAGUGCGUUAAUAUUAGUAGUGCGUGUUAUGUCGAGGGGCGCAGACAAGAAAGUACUAUCAGCAAUUUUAAUCCAUCACGAGUAACAACUCAACAAAGUCCACAGGAGCUCCUUAUCCAAAAUGCAGUGAGCAGAGAUGAGUCUUUUACACUGGAGGAGUGGUCGUCAUUAUGCGAGGAAAUACUGGUCAGCAAAGGCAGACUGAAACCUACAACACUGGCUGCAUAUAUAAUGUCAGAGUGUGUCAGAACCAGUAAUCUAAAAGUGGGUCUAUCGUUGCUGACAUACCUGGAAUCCACAGCUUCUGGACCAAACCUUGCGACAUUAAGUGCUUUCUUCAAGCUUUGGCAUGCUAUUGGAGGAAGUUAUGAAGAAAAGGAACUGUUGUCACGAUAUGACAACUUGAGAAAACAGUAUCCUCUGUUAGAUGCUGCUACAUCUGAAAGUGCUGCAAUGGCACUUUCACAUACUUCGAGGUGGCAAGAUGCUUUUGAACUACUGGAUAUGAUUAAGCUGACGCACCAUCCUAAAUCUGCUGUUUACACUUCCUUGGCUGUUGCUGCAUUUCGUAAUGGAAAUAAUGAACUUGCCCACUCAGUCAUGGAGGAAGUAUUUGAACGGGAUGAUAGACGACCAGGUCCUGAGGCCUAUUUGGCUUGGCUGCAGCACAGUGAUCCAGAAGAACUGUUACAUUUUAUUGCAACCCAUGGAGAAAAGCCUACUGAUGAAGUAGUGUGUGCUUUGUCUGAGAAGCUGGAAGCUGACAGAGGAUUUCAAGCAAAUUUUACAACUGUAAACAAAAGGGGCAUUUGCCAGACAUGUAACAAGCAGUUGACACCACAGCUUCCCACGCCAACUGAAUAUAAGCAGUUGCAGGUGGCAAUGUUGGACCGGGUUUUACUAUCGGAUGAUGUAUUUCUUAAGACAUCACCUAAAGAGGUUGUUCACUUUCAAAACAUGUUGAAGAAGAACAGAACUUGGGAUGUAGUAAUAGAUGGCCUGAAUGUGGCAUUUGCUAGUGGCUCUUCUUCGAGUAGCAAUCAUGCCAAGCUGCUUUUUCUUGUAGUGGAACAGUUCUGGCGGCAAGGGGAAAAAGUGCUUGUACUUGGUCGCAAACACAUGAAAAACUGGCCCAAAAGACAGAUGGAAGCACUUUCUAAUUGUGCUCAGUUGUUUCUAGCUGACAAUUUAUCACAGGAUGAUCCUCUUGUACUACUAGCAGCACUGCACAGUGGGCUCGGAACAAAAAUUGUUUCACGAGAUCUAAUGCGUACACACAUGUUCCUGCUGAAGGACAAGGAGCUUCGCAGUAUUUUUAGGCGCUGGCAGUAUUCACAUCAAUGCUUCUUUGAAAUUAAAAAUAAUGGAAGAGUUGUAAUUAAGGAUCCAUUGCCAUUCCACCCAUUUGCUCAGCAUCAUCAUGAUGGUUCAUGGCACCUGCCUUAUGAGGUCCCAGGCUCAUCCCCAAAUAAGAGAUAUAAUCAUUUGGAAGUCCCAGAACAUUGGCUGUGCCUCUCAAAAGUAUAGUUAAAAUUUUUCAGUUACAAAACUUCAGGGCAUACUAAAUCCUGCCACUGUUUAUUACUUGGUAAACAAAUAUAAUGGAUAAAUUAUGCAAGAAGAAAUUAAGAAAUCAAAACUGCAUAUUGUAAUUCCAAGAAGAACACAAGGAACAUGGAUUGCAAAUUUAAAUUGCCGCACUCUGCUGCUCAUCGAUAGAAGAACCCAGACUUAGACAUCAAAAUAUUCAAAUACAUACUGAUCAAACUUCAUAUGGAAAAUUGGAGCAAUUUAGCUGGAAUGUUGCACACCUAGCAACAUGUUGGUCAGCCUUUAUAUGGGAAACUUGGACAAAUGUCCAUUUCAGAUCAUGGAAUUUUUGCGCCCUACAAAGUGGUAUUUUUUAAUAUCUGAGAUGACAAGGAAUAUAUUCAGAAGCAUUCAUAUCCAGAAAAAAAUAAUUUGUUUCCUUUUUUGUAAACAUAAAAGAUGGAAGAGCUUGAUAGAUGUUUACAUACAGUCAGUUCCUUGAUAUUCUUGCUAUUCUCUGGAUAGUGAAUAAUAAAUUAUCUGGUGCUACUGCUGCUGUUUUUUAAUCAUCCUGAGCACCUGAAACACCUUUUGUACCUACUGAUGCUCUGGCUCAGCAUUAUACUGUAGGCAAAAAACUAUUGCAGUUUUUGGAUUAGUAAUAUUUUCAUAAGGUAUCUAAAAACUACUUACAUAUUGAUCUUUGUUACAUUUUUUUAACACACUGAUGAUU